AUUCUUUAAAGGUUUUACCUUUUUCCCCUAUUCUUAUGCUAUUAUUUAUUCAUAUACACCAUAAAUUAGACAAAUAUAAUAGAAUAUUUUAAAAAACUAUAUAUAAAUUAUAUAUACAAAGAAGCUCAUCCGACAACACAAGGCGCUGAAUGUUGAAAGACGAACACUCAAAAAAGAUGUGAUGUAGUGUUUGAACCUUUUGCAAUUGACAAUAAUCACAAUAUGCUGAGCUGACCAUUUUGAGACGAUGAAGAACCAAGGUACGGUAUUAACUUGA